AACUUUCAACAAUGGAUCUCUUGGUUCCGGCAUCGAUGAAGAACGCAGCGAAAUGCGAUAAGUAAUGUGAAUUGCAGAAUUCCGUGAAUCAUCGAAUCUUUGAACGCACAUUGCGCCCCC
rnacentral:rRNA from 1 species